GGAAUAUUGGGCAAUGGGCGAAAGCCUGACCCAGCGACGCCGCGUGAGGGAAGACGGUCUUCGGAUUGUAAACCUCUUUCAGCAGGGAAGAAGCAAGUGACGGUACCUGCAGAAGAAGUCACGGCUAACUACGUGCCAGCAGCCGCGGUAAUACGUAGGUGGCGAGCGUUAUCCGGAAUUACUGGGUGUAAAGGGUGUGUAGGCGGGGAAGCAAGUCAGACGUGAAAAUCAAAGGCUCAACCUUUGACUUGCGUUUGAAACUGUUUUUCUUGAGAGUGGGAGAGGUAAACGGAAUUCCUGGUGUAGUAGUGAAAUGCGUAGAUAUCAGGAGGAACACCGGUGGCGAAGGCGGUUUACUGGACCACAACUGACGCUGAGACACGAAAGCGUGGGGAGCAAACA
rnacentral:rRNA from 1 species